UAGAUAAAUCAUCCUGUAAACGGAAAAGAAAGACAUCAGGCUCAUUUCGAAAAAAAAUGGCAGAGAUCCGAAUGAAAGCGGAAGAAGGAGCUGUCACUCCAGCGAAUCCGGAGGAGCGAGCUCUCAACCCUUUCGCGGAACCCGGUUGGCGGGAGCUCGUAGAAACCCCUCGAGAUAAUUCUGAGUCAGGCGGAAAUCUGCCAGAGAAGAAGAAAGUAGAGGAUCGUCGCGAGAUCUUUAGGGCACUGGAGGUUGUUGAGAGGAACUCUUCUGCUAUUGCCGAGAGCUACGCUUCCCUCUUCUCCACGCUCCGCCUGGCUCUUUCAGAGGUUACUGGCAAUUCAGUUGAAAACAUGCAGUGUUUCAGUGAUGUUGUUGGUUCAUUACAAGUAUCCUCACUGGAUGCAGCAAGCAAAGGAAAUCGAUAUAUCAAUUCAUGCUUAAGUGCAUUGCAGAUUGAACGAAGAAUUGAAGAGCAUGGAAAGUCUUGCUUUGGAACUAAAGAUGUUGAGGAAGAACGUUGAUACUCUUGAACUGGCUGUUAACCAUCUACUUCGUCUUCCUUGAUAUGAGAAGUUGCAAGCUUGAUCGUAUAGGCAUAUGAAACUUGUCAGCGUGCCUUGAGUGGAUAAAUGAGCACGAUGUGUCUGCUGAAUCAAUCUGCUCAAGUUGGAUAGAGACUUUCUUACAUUCUUGAUAGGAUUCUCCUAUGUUUUUACAAACUUUAGAAAGUUAUUGAUGUUUGAUGUUUCAUGUAACCAACCCAACAUCUCCCACCCAGAUGAAGGAAUUAUUUGUUGACUGUAGUUUUGUAAUCAUUUUUUUUAGAAAAUCUUUAUUAACUUGGCUGUUUUUAUGAAUCUUUUUAAACUAACUUUGUAUUGAAGUCCUCGCGGAAUCGACUAGAAAUUUGUCA